rfam:Myotis lucifugus cont2.10067, whole genome shotgun sequence.
GAGACAUCCUUAUAUGGGGCAGGACUCGCUUCAGUGGGGCUUUGGUGCUCACUGAGUCUGCCCCCUGAGUGUGUCUCU